ACAAGGAAUUAGGAAUAGUUCCCCUUAUACAUAAUAAAUAUAAGGUAAAAAGAGGAUGAAUUUCAAGAAAAACUAUAAAUUAUAUAGUUAACUUGAAGCGAAGCUUAUUAUUAUAAUUUAUUAACAUAUUUAAUAAGAACGUUCAACGACUAGAAGAAAAUUAUUUUUUUAUAAUAAUCUUCCUACCUAAAGGGUGAGAGUGUCCUCCAUCGAUUAACUUUAGGCGGGCUUGCGAGCUUCUUACGGAGUACGCAUACUUCGUCAGCAUGAAUGAGAGCCGAAGGCUACUCAUAAUUAGAUAAUAGUUUAAAGUAAGAUGAUGACAUAGUCUGAACCCUUGUGAGAAUAAGGG
rnacentral:ncRNA from 1 species